rnacentral:rRNA from 1 species
UACGGAGGGGGCUAGCGUUGUUCGGAAUUACUGGGCGUAAAGCGCACGUAGGCGGAUUGGAAAGUUGGGGGUGAAAUCCCAGGGCUCAACCCUGGAACUGCCUUUGAUACUGGGGAUCUUGAGUCCGGGAGAGGUGAGUGGAACUGCGAGUGUAGAGGUGAAAUGCGCAGAUAUCAGGAGGAACACCAAUGGCGAAGGCAGCUCGCUGGGACGUGACUGACGCUGAGACGCGAAAGCGUGGGGAGCAAACAGG